GGGGGUCCUCAAGGUAAAGCGUUAGCAUCAAGGGAGUCCUCAAGGUAAAGCAUCAAGGGGGUCCUCAAGGUAAAGCAUCAAGGGAGUCCUCAAGGUAAAGCAUCAAGGGAGUCCUCAAGGUAAAGCAUCAAGGGGGUCCUCAAGGUAAAGCAUCAAGGGGGUCCUCAAGGUAAAGCAUCAAGGGGGUCCUCAAGGUAAAGCGUUAGCAUCAAGGGAGUCCUCAAGGUAAAGCGUUAGCAUCAAGGGAGUCCUCAAGGUAAAGCGUUAGCAUCAAGGGAGUCCUCAAGGUAAAGCGUUGCCUUGUUUUAGUAUACUGUAGGUCUCUCUGUCCUUUAUCAGUUUGUAGAUUUGUAUUUUGAUAGGCCUAUGCUAUUGUAUGCUAAUGUUUUCAGUUUGUGUUGACUGCUAAUGAGGGCGGCAGGUAGCCUAGCGGUUAGAGGGUUGGGCAAGUAACCAAAAGGUCGCUGGUUCGAAUA